AUUGAACGCUGGCGGAAUGCUUUACACAUGCAAGUCGAGCGGCAGCGCGGGGCAACCUGGCGGCGAGCGGCGAACGGGUGAGUAACAUAUCGGAACGUACCCAGUGGUGGGGGAUAACACAUCGAAAGAUGUGCUAAUACCGCAUACGACCUGAGGGUGAAAGGGGGGGAUCGCAAGACCUCUCGCCGUUGGAGCGGCCGAUAUCGGAUUAGCCAGUUGGUGAGGUAAAGGCUCACCAAGGCGACGAUCCGUAGCUGGUCUGAGAGGAUGAUCAGCCACACUGGGACUGAGACACGGCCCAGACUCCUACGGGAGGCAGCAGUGGGGAAUUUUGGACAAUGGGGGCAACCCUGAUCCAGCCAUUCCGCGUGAGUGAAGAAGGCCUUCGGGUUGUAAAGCUCUUUCGGCAGGAACGAAACGGUGUGGGCCAAUACCCCAUAUCAAUGACGGUACCUGAAGAAUAAGCACUGGCUAACUUCGUGCCAGCCGCCGCGGUAAGAC
rnacentral:rRNA from 1 species